UCCCGGGUCGUCUAAUGGCAGGACGCGGGGUUUUGGUCCCCGUUGUAGGGGUUCGAGUCCUCUCCCGGGAGCCC
rnacentral:tRNA from 1 species